rnacentral:rRNA from 1 species
AGUUAAUCCAAACUCCCAACCCUUUGUGAACUAUAUCGUCGUUGCCUCGGCGUGAGCGGCGGCCACCCAGGGAGUAGUUACCUACCCUGUAGUUUCCGGGGGCAUCUACCCUGUACAUGAGAACUCCUACCCUGUAGAAGCCAUCCUGUAAGCUGGUAGCGCUGCCUUGGAAGGUACAGAGCAGGCUACUCCCCGGGGCUGCAAACAACGCCCGCCGGAGGACCAAUAAACUCUUGAAUUACUAUGUAUUUCUGAAUGCUUCAACUAUAAAUAGUUAAAACUUUCAACAACGGAUCUCUUGGUUCUGGCAUCGAUGAAGAACGCAGCGAAAUGCGAUAAGUAAUGUGAAUUGCAGAAUUCAGUGAAUCAUCGAAUCUUUGAACGCAUAUUGCGCCCAUUAGUAUUCUAGUGGGCAUGCCUAUUCGAGCGUCAUUUCAACCCUUAAGCCCUGUUGCUUAGCGUUGGGAGCCUACCGCCUGGCGGUAGCUCCUGAAAGGUAGUGGCGGUGUCAGGGCACACUCGUAGCGUAGUAAUUUUCUUCUCGCUUCUGUAGUGGUUCUGGCAACCUGCCGUAAAACCCCCCUAUUUUCUAGUGGUUGACCUCGGAUUAGGUAGGAAUACCCGCUGAACUUAAGCAUAUCAAUAAGCGGAGGAAAAGAAACCAACAGGGAUUGCCCUAGUAACGGCGAGUGAAGCGGCAACAGCUCAAAUUUGAAAUCUGGCCCUCGUGGUCCGAAUUGUAAUUUGUAGAGGAUGCUUUUGGUGCGGUGCCUUCCGAGUUCCCUGGAACGGGACGCCAGAGAGGGUGAGAGCCCCGUACGGUUGGACACCUAGCCUCUAUAUAGCUCCUUCGACGAGUCGAGUAGUUUGGGAAUGCUGCUCUAAAUGGGAGGUAAAUUUCUUCUAAAGCUAAAUACCGGCCAGAGACCGAUAGCGCACAAGUAGAGUGAUCGAAAGAUGAAAAGCACUUUGAAAAGAGGGUUAAAUAGCACGUGAAAUUGUUGAAAGGGAAGCGUUUGCGACCAGACCUUUUCCUGGCGGAUCAUCCGGUGUUCUCACCGGUGCACUUCGCCUGGUUUAGGCCAGCAUCGGUUUUCGUAGGGGGAUAAAGGCCUGG